CAGCUGCCUAUUGCGCAGGCGUGCUCCAAAGACCGGCUUGAACAAUGAGGAGGACUCUGGCGUUAGCUGGGACCGCAACUAAAAAGGACUACAGUUCCCAGAGGGCAGUGCGCCAACUCCAAGUGGCGGUCUGGUUGCUGGGCAUGCUAGGAUUUGUAGUGUCGGAUGCCUUCAAAACCUUGGCUGUUUGGGAGAUUUAGAGCUUCUUUUUCUUGAGAAUUUAUUUGGUCGUUUUGGCAAAUGUUGCGGCUGAAGGGUGAAGAACUUGUUAUUUGUGUCCUUGAGAAGACUCAACUAGCAAACUUAGGAGAGUCAAGGCCUUCAGUGAGCUCUUUAUGUCGGUUGGGUGGUCCAAACAGCAGGAUGGGAUAAAGGCAGGACUGAGCCAGCCUGGGCUACAGAAAAAGGGCGGAGCCUCCAAGCAGUCUCUUGGCAACCGGAUCUGGCCGCCAAACCGCCAAAGCUUGUAGCGCGAUGUCCUCUGGGAAUUGUAGUAUAGUUGGAAGGGCCUUUUAGGAGUUUCGUGACUGCAGGCCCGCAGCCUGCGGACUACAACUCCCGACGUCCAGCAUGAGGGCCCCUGGGUGGGAAGGGCCCCAUGCGAGCUCCGUCCGGGGUUCCAUGCUCCCCAAUGACAGCAGCGGCUGGAAGCAGGCGGGCGCUUCUCCGGCGCCAAGGCCUCCUGUUCCCCAAAGGGCGACACUGGACACUUCCCCACGUGACUCCCAUCUCUGGGCCCCGGCUCUGUGCAUGGCGAAGUCCCCGGAGAACUCUACCCUGGAGGAGAUUCUGGGGCAGUAUCAACGGAGUCUCCGGGAACGUGCGAAUAGAAGCAUUCACCAACUGCAGUGUGCACUGAGAGACGGUGAUGUCAGCGUUGGAGAAGGUGCCCCGGAUGCCACGUGUAGUACCGGUGUAGAAAAUGAAGACUCUGGGAUGGCUUGGCAUGAACUGCAACACAGCCAUGCUGUCAAUCAACUCGAAGCUUUGUUGCGCCAACAGGCAACUAAGGAAAGUGAGGUGUCUCCAUCAAGAAGACGAAAUGUGUCCCCUCUGAGGUCAUCAGAGUAUGAGGAAGCCAAUAUGCCUACUGUAUACAAUCUCGUUCCUAUCAUCAAUGACCAGUCUCAAUACAUUCAUCAUUUAGAGGCAGAAGUCAAGUUCUGCAAAGAGGAACUCUCUGGAAUGAAAAAUAGGGUACAAGUAGUUGUACUUGAAAAUGAAAGGCUCCAGCAAGAGCUGAAAUCUCAGAGACAAGAGGAAGCAAUGAGGGAACAAACACUUCUGAAUGCAUCUGGAAACCUGCAGAAUUCUUGGAUUACAACAGGUGAAGACUCUGGGGUGGAUGAAGCUGCCAAGAGGCAAUUCUCCCAGGACAAUGCAGAUACUGUCAAAGGUCCAUCGGCUGGUGAGGCUGAGAAAUGGAAGCUAGAACUGGAGAGGCUAAAACUUACUUAUGAAGAAAAGGGUGAGAUCCUGGAAUCUCAAUUGAAGUUUUUGAGGAAAGACCUAGCUGAAUAUCAGAAAAAUUGUGAAGAUCUUAAGGAGCGACUAAAGCAUAAAGAGUCUCUUCUCGCUGCUAAUAUAUCUAACUGUGUUGGUGGCCUUUGUUUGAAAUGUGCUCAGCACGAAGCUGUUCUCUCCCAAACCCAUAAUAAUGUUCACGUGCAGACCAUUGAAAGACUGACUAAGGAAAGGGAUGACUUAAUGUCUGCGCUGGUCUCCGUCAGGAGCAGCUUGACAGACGGACAGCAAAGAGAAGCCAGUGCUUAUGAGCAGGUGAAACAGGCUAUGCAGAUGACCGAAGAGGCCAACUUCGAGAAAACCAAGGCUUUAAUCCAGUGUGAGCAGUUGAAGAAUCAACUGGAGAGACAGACAGAGCGUCUUGAAAAAGAACUCGCGUCUCAGCAAGAGAAAAGGGCCCUUGAGAAAGAGGCAAUGAGAAAGGAAAUAACAAAAGAAAGGGAAGACGUGAGGUCAAAGAUGUUGUCCCUGUCUCAAAAUAUUGCCCAACUGGAGGCCCAGGUUGAAAAGGUUACAAGAGAGAAGACUUCAGCUAUUAAUCAACUCGAGGAAGUUCAAAACCAGCUUACUUCCAAGGAAAUGGAUGUCACAAAGGUGUGCGGGGAAAUGCGCUAUCAGUUGAAUAAAACCAAAAUGGAGAAGGAUGAGGCAGAGAAGGAACACAGAGGGUACAGAACCAAAACUAAAAGGGAUCUUGAAAUUAAAGAUGAGGAAAUAGAGAAAUUGAAAUUAGAAGUGAGGGAAAGCAAGCAGCACUUGGAACAGGAACAGCAGAAGGCAGCCCGGGCCAGAGAGGAGUGCCUGAAACUGACAGAGCUGCUGAGCGAAUCUGAGCACCAACUGCACCUCACCAGACUGGAAAAAGAUAGCAUUCAGCAGAGCUUUAGCAACGAAGCAAAGGCCCAAGCCCUUCAGGCCCAGCAAAGAGAACAGGAGCUGACACAGAAGAUACAGCAAAUGGAGGCCCAGCAUGACAAAACUGAAAAUGAACAGAAUUCAUUGCUGACCUCCCAGAAUACAUUUUUGACAAAGUUAAAGGACGAGUGCUGUGCAUUAGCCAAGAAGCUGGAGCAAAUCUCUAAAAAAAGCAGGUCUGAAAUAGCUCAACUCAGUCAAGAGAAAAGGUAUACGCAUGACAAACUGGAAAAGUUAGAGAGGAGAAAUGUGGAAUUGGAGGAGCAGUGUGUCCAACACGGGAGACUACAUGAGAUAAUGAAGCAGAGGCUAAAGCAGCUGGACAAGCACAGCCAGGCCACGGCCCAGCAGCUGGUGCAGCUUCUCAACAAGCAGAACCAGCUUCUGCUGGAGAGACAGAGCCUAUCAGAAGAGGUGGGACGUCUGAGAUCCCAGAGCUGCGUCGGAACAGGUGAAAUCCCCAGUGAUCCCAUUGGGCAGCUCGCCACACUGAGGGGCACAGUCCGUGGAAGGACAUGGAAGGCUACGGUGGUGAGCAGGCUUCUUGCAGGAGGUAGACUCUGAACCACCCCUGGGGGAUGUGUACAGUUUGAAUUGGUUGAGGAGAGAGGGGCUGCCAACUGGGGGAGCCACGGUGACUGGACUGCAGGAGUCUUGUCCGAAGUCAGCUGCCGGAUAAUUGAGCCCAGCAGCGCUACCCUUAGAGUGCACACUAACUCUUGUUACCCUUGAACGAGCUUGCAAGAUCGCUUCCUGUCUCCGCUUUGCAGAUAGGGAAACCGAGGCACCAACAGCCUGCACAGCUAGCAAGUAGGGACACUAUGCAUGGCACCUAAGGCUGACGCCACAGCCCUGGCCUUCUGUUGAGGGUAGACCUGGGGCCACCAGAAGGGACAGUGGAGGGAGGAGAAUAUCCAGGAGAGUCUGCAGUGUGGCGUGAGACCUUUUUCCCCUAAGUGGCUUCUCUUCCUGUCAGAGGAACUGUACUUUUUGCCCCAUCAAGCAAUGUGUUAGGAUAAUGAGGCGGUCCAGGGGCUGGCCACGGUCUCCUCCUUGUCUUAGGACCUUGUAUUAGGAUUGCCCCCAGGUGCCCACACAGUGAGUGCUGGGAAUGAUUAACGGAAAGAAUGCCUCUGGAAAUGAGAAGAGGGGGAAACUGUCUCUCAUUCUUCUUUCAAAAUGUGCUGAAUGGGUAUCAGGGAGCCGCUCUCCUCUGAGUGAAUUUUCCCACUCAGCGCACCAAAACCCUCAACAGGAACUACUCAUUUUUCCACGUAGAGAAAGAGAACACUCCCAGUGCCAGGCGCUGAACUACGGCCUGGGGUUGGGGGCCCACCUGUACACCAUGCCCCUGGUGCCACUGACCCUCUCAUACGAUGCACCAUGGUCGUCCGGGAAGGCUUGCUAACAGUUACCCAGCAUGCGACAAUCUGAUUGCUGACCUGGACGAAACAGAGUGAAAUAAAUGGUUUACAAAGAGAUAUUUACAUUCAUCUGAUUUGUUCGUGAGAUGCCACAGCACACCACGACCUUCCGGAACAGUGGCCAGCGCCCGGGAUGGCAGCGGGCCGCUCGCUCGACACCCCGUCCGCUGCUCGGCGGCACCUGUGUGCGGGCGGCCCGCGGCUCAGCUCUGGCACCCGACGAGGAGCCCUCCUGCUAUGUUUCCAGAAAUGGCUUGAAGUGAUGAUGUUUUUAAGAUCUGCUCAUUUGUAUGCUGUUACACACGACUUUCAAUAAAUGAACUUUUUAAAGA